rnacentral:rRNA from 1 species
UGGGGAAUAUUGGGCAAUGGAGGAAACUCUUACCCAGCAAUGCCGCGUGAAUGAAGAAGGUCUUCGGAUUGUAAAGUUCUUUAAUUGGGGACGAAAAAAAUGACGGUACCCAAGGAAUAAGCCCCGGCUAACUACGUGCCAGCAGCCGCGGUAAUACGUAGGGGGCAAGCGUUGUCCGGAAUAACUGGGCGUAAAGGGUGUGUAGGUGGUUGUUUAAGUUAGAAGUGUAAUACCCAGGGCUCAACCCGGGUGCUGCUUCUAAGACUGAAUGACUUGAGUGCAGGAGAGGAAAGUGGAAUUCCUAGUGUAGCGGUGGAAUGCGUAGAUAUUAGGAGGAACACCAGUGGCGAAGGCGGCUUUCUGGACUGUAACUGACACUGAGGCACGAAAGCGUGGGGAGCAAACA